ACAGAAGUUUCUGGAAAGGAGAAUGUGUUGAGAACGUCUCGCCACCAUGGCCAUUCUGGAUUCCAUACCUCCUUCACGUCUUCUGGUGUGGACUCUAUGCUGAUGGCAAGCUCUCUUCGGACUGGCCAUAGUUCAAGCGCUCGCAGAAUGUAAGUCCCCAGAGGCAUUUACUCCUGUGCCCCCGACAUGGAGAACAGUGCAUGGGACCCAAGAAGUGCUCAGAAAACAUAACUAUGUGUUGAACAGGAACCUGUACCAGAUGUGCCUGUCCCCGACAUUGGACCCUGAGCUCUUUGCGGGAUGGAAACAUACUCUGCUCAUCUCUGUAACCCCAGCUUCUAGCCUCCAGCCUGACACGUGGUCUGUGUGUUGAAAG